AUUGAACGCUGGCGGCAUGCCUUACACAUGCAAGUCGAACGGCAGCACGGGUGCUUGCACCUGGUGGCGAGCGGCGAACGGGUGAGUAAUACAUCGGAACAUGUCCUGUAGUGGGGGAUAGCCCGGCGAAAGCCGGAUUAAUACCGCAUACGAUCCACGGAUGAAAGCGGGGGACCUUCGGGCCUCGCGCUAUAGGGUUGGCCGAUGGCUGAUUAGCUAGUUGGUGGGGUAAAGGCCUACCAAGGCAACGAUCAGUAGCUGGUCUGAGAGGACGACCAGCCACACUGGAACUGAGACACGGCCCAGACUCCUACGGGAGGCAGCAGUAGGGAAUUUUGGACAAUGGGCGAAAGCCUGAUGCAGCAAUGCCGCGUGUGUGAAGAAGGACUUCGGAUUGUAAAGCACUUUUGUCCGGAAAGAAAAACUUGGCUCUUAUACAGUCGGGGGAUGACGGUACCGGAAGAAUAAGCACCGGCUAACUACGUG
rnacentral:rRNA from 1 species